rnacentral:rRNA from 1 species
GACGAACGCUGGCGGCGUGCCUAAUACAUGCAAGUAGGACGGAGUUGCGAAUGGGUGAGUAACGCGUAGGUAACUACCUAUUAGAGGGGGAUAACCAUUGGCAACGACAGCAAAAACCGCAUACAAGUAGAUGGACCUGCGUUGUAUUAGCUAGUAGGUAGGGGAAUGGUCUACCUAGGCAACGAUACAUAGCCGACCUUGGUAGGUGAACAGCCAAACUGGGAAUGAGACAAGGCCCAAACUCCUGAGGGAUGCAGCAGGAGGGAAUCUUAGGCAAUGGGGGGAACCCUGACCGAGCAACGCCGCGGGAGUGAAGGAGGUGUUCGGAUCGGUAAGCUAUGUUGAUAAGGGAGCGUUACUUACCCAGAAAGGGACGGCUAACUACGUGCCAGCAGCCGCGGUAAUAC